rnacentral:rRNA from 1 species
AGCGAACGCUGGCGGCGUGCUUAACACAUGCAAGUCGAGUGCGCGUUUCGUAGCAAUACGGGAUGGCGCACGGCGCACGGGUGAGGAACACGUGGGCAACAUGCCCUCUGAUGGGGAAUAGCCCCGCGAAAGCGGGGCUAAUACCGCAUAAGAUUCCGGGGACCUCGGUCCCUGGACUGAAAGCCCGCAAGGGCGUCGGAGGAGUGGCCCGCGGCCGAUUAGCUUGNGGCGGGUAACGGCCCGACCAAGGCCAAUGAUCGGUAGCCGGUCUGGAGACGGAUGAUCGGCCACACUGGAACUGAGACACGGUCCAGACUCCUACGGGAGGCAGCAGUGGGGAAUCUUGCGCAAUGGGCGAAAGCCUGACGCAGCGACGCCGCGUGGGGGAUGAAGCCUUUC